UACAGAGGGUGCGAGCGUUGUCCGGAAUCAUUGGGCGUAAAGAGCGUGUAGGCGGCUUGGCAAGUCUGGUGUGAAAUCUUGCGGCUCAACCGCAAGCGGUCACUGGAAACUGCCUCGCUAGAGUCCGGAAGAGGAGAGCGGAAUUCCUGGUGUAGCGGUGGAAUGCGCAGAUAUCAGGAAGAACACCCGUGGCGAAGGCGGCUCUCUGGGACGGUACUGACGCUGAGACGCGAAAGCGUGGGGAGCGAACAGG
rnacentral:rRNA from 1 species